rnacentral:tRNA from 1 species
UCUAAUAUGGCAGAUUAGUGCAAUGGAUUUAAGCUUCAUAUAUAAAGAUUUUUCUUUUAUUAGAA